rnacentral:rRNA from 1 species
AAUCAUGACUCAGGAUGAACGCUAGCGACAGGCUUAACACAUGCAAGUCGAGGGGCAGCAUGAGGUAGCAAUACCUUGAUGGCGACCGGCGCACGGGUGAGUAACGCGUAUGCAACCUGCCUGAUACCGGGGUAUAGCCCAUGGAAACGUGGAUUAACACCCCAUAGUACUUUUAUCCUGCCUGGGAUGUGAGUUAAAUGUUCAAGGUAUCGGAUGGGCAUGCGUCCUAUUAG